UCUCCGUUGGUGAACCAGCGGAGGGAUCAUUGCCGAGUCUCGGACUCCCAAACCAUCGUGAACCUACCAUUCGUUGCCUCGGCGGGCGGCUCCAGGGCGGAGCCUCCGGCCCCCUCGGGGGUGCCCGCCGCAGGCCCAACCAACCAGUGUCGUAUCUAGGCCCCUCUGAGCAACUGCGAGAGCAGAAACAAGUCAAAACUUUCAACAAUGGAUCUCUUGGCUCUGGCAUCGAUGAAGAACGCAGC
rnacentral:misc_RNA from 1 species